GGGGUAUGGUAGUAGGUGAUGGGGUAUGGUAAUAGGUGACAGGUGACGGGGUAUGGUAGUAGGUGACGGGGUAUGGUAGUAGGUGACGGGGUAUGGUAGUAGGUGAUGGGGUAUGGUAGUAGGUGAUGGGGUAUGGUAAUAGGUGACAGGUGACUGGGUAUGGUCGUAGGUGACGGGGUAUGGUAGUAGGUGACGGGGUAUGGUAGUAGGUGACGGGGUAUGGUAGUAGGUGACGGGGUAUGGUAGUAGGUGACGGUGUAUGGUAGUAGGUGACGGGGUAUGGUAGUAGGUGACGGGGUAUGGUAGUAGGUGACGGGGUAUGGUAGUAGGUGACGGGGUAUGGUAGUAGGUGACGGGGUAUGGUAGUAGGUGACGGGGUAUGGUAGCAGGUGACAGGUGAAUGGGU